ACCCCACUGCUAUCGGGAUAGGACUAAGACAUGCAAGUCAAGCGCUUUCUAGCUAAUGUGAGAGCGCGGCGUACAGCUCAGUAACACGUGGCCAACCUGCCCUUGGGACGGGAACACCCCCGGGAAACUGGGGUUAAUUCCCGAUAGGUGAAGAAGUCUGGAAUGAAUCUUCGCUCAAAAGACGUUUAUGUCAUGCUCAUACUCGUCGCCCAGGGAUGGGGCCGCGACCGAUCAGGUUGUUGGUGAGGCAAUGGCUCACCAAGCCUUUUACCGGUGCGGGCCGUGAGAGCGGGAGCCCGGAGAUGGGCACUGAGACAAAGGCCCAGGCCCCACGGGGCGCAGCAGUCGCGAAAACUUUGCAAUACACGAAAGUGUGACAGGGCUAUCCCGAGUGCCAUCCGCUGAGGAAGGCUUUUACCCAGUAUAAAUAGCUGGGAGAAUAAGGAGAGGGCAAGUCUGGUGUCAGCCGCCGCGGUAAUACCAGCUCUCCGAGUAGUGUGGAUGUUUAUUGGGCCUAAAGCAUCCGUAGCUUGCUAGACAAGUCCCCUGUUAAAUCCACCGAUUCAAUCGUUGGAUUGCGGGGGAUACUGUUUGGCUAGGGGGCGGGAGAGGUCGACGGUAUUUCCGGGGUACGGGUGAAAUCCUAUAAUCCCGGGAAGACCACCAGUGGCGAAAGGCUGUCGACUAGAACGCGCCCGACGGUGAGGGAUGAAAGCUGGGGGAGCGAACCGGAUUAGAUACCCGGGUAGUCCCAGCUGUAACGAUGCA
rnacentral:rRNA from 1 species